ensembl:lncRNA
UGAUUAAACUGUUUUAACAUUUGCUACUCAUGCAAACAAUAAAAGAAGCAGCAACUUUGUAAAUCCACGAGCCCCAUUUCUUUCUAGAAUCAAAAUUAAAGCCAGAACAAUCUUUCUGACUUCUAUUUUCAUAUAAACUUCUUAAAUCCCAUUGCAAAGGGAAGAAAUCUAUGGAAGUGUUUUUGCUUUUGAUGCAAGACGAGAGAAUGCUGGUAGAUGUAACGAGACAUCGCGUAGGUGUUUUUAAGGGGUUGAAGUAGGAAGAGCAAAGCCUACAUACACAGAUGUAGUUUGUGUGGUCUGCACUGACAAGCCCGAGCCAGUGUCUCUCUCCAGUUACUCCUGAAUCACGAGUUGUUUAGGCGUAUUCUUCAAAAGUAACAAAUAUUUACUUUUGAAAACCUAAAAAACUCAGAAUUUGGAUGUCUUGUUUUGAAAUUCAUACUCAUCGAUGUCUUGGAAGUAUAGAACUGUACUGGAGGAACAGGAGGAGACCAGUUGUUGUAAACUGUAAAGUUAGAGGGGCGUUUUCUGCAUCUUCUUCUGCGUUUCAAACCCUCCUGGGCCUGUAGUUUACAUCUUCAACACCCCCAUGUGGAAAUUGAAAAAACUAGUUUCAAAAGGCAGCCUUUUCUUCUUCAGGCAAAGCAGUUCAAGUCUUUUUUGUACAUUAUAGUUUUGUCUACAUCUUCUUCUUCUCAGGAUUUCCCAUCAACCGUUUCUGCGCGGCUCAGUUGUUCUCCUCGUCGCUGUCGUCGGGGCUGAUGGCCGGGCUGUAGGUGGGCGACGUGGGGCUGUAUCCGGGAGAGGUGGGGCUGUAGGUGGAGCCUUUAGGACUGGUGGGUGAGUAGGUGGGGGAGGUCGGGGAGUAUUUGGGGGAGGUGGGGGAGUAGGUAGGAGACGUGGGGGAGUAUUUGGGGCUCGUAGGGGUGUAGGUUGGAGACGUGGGCGAGUAGGUGGGAGAGGUGGGGCUGUAUUUGGGUGUAGUGGGUGAAUACGUCGGGGAGGUCGGCGAGUACUUGGGCGAAGUGGGGGAGUACUUUGGCGACGUAGGCGAGUACUUCGGGGACGUGGGGGUGUAUUCUGGAGAGCUGGGGCUGUAGGAGGGGGAGGUGGGGGUGUAUUUGGGGGAGGUGGGCGAGUACGACGGGGAACUCGGGCUGUACGAGGGCGAGCUGGGGGUGUAGGUCGGGGACUGGGGUGUGUAGCGUGGACUGGAGGGCGAGUAGGAGGGGGAGGUGGGGGAGUACGAAGGGGACGUGGGGGAGUAGUUGGGGCUGGUCGGGGUGUAGUUCGGCGAGGUGGGGGAGUACGAGGGAGAGGUGGGGGAGUAGGAGGGAGAGGUGGGCGAGUACGAAGGCGACGUGGGGGAGUAAGAGGGAGACGUGGGAGAAUACGAGGGAGAAGUGGGCG